UACGAAGGGGGCUAGCGUUGUUCGGAAUUACUGGGCGUAAAGGGCGCGUAGGCGGUACUUCAAGUCAGGCGUGAAAGCCCCCGGCUCAACUGGGGAGGGUCACGCGAUACUGAUCGACUGGAAGGCAGGAGAGGGUAGUGGAAUUCCCGGUGUAGUGGUGAAAUGCGUAGAUAUCGGGAGGAACACCAGUGGCGAAGGCGACUACCUGGCCUGUUCUUGACGCUGAGGCGCGAAAGCUAGGGGAGCAAACGGG
rnacentral:rRNA from 1 species